rnacentral:tRNA from 1 species
GGUGAAGCUCAAUGGUAGAGCACUUGCCUAGCAAGCUUGAGGUCCUGGGUUUGAUCCCUAGUACUA